UAGGGAAUCUUCCACAAUGGACGAAAGUCUGAUGGAGCAACGCCGCGAGAGUGAAGAAGGUUUUCGGAUCGUAAAGCUCUGUUGUUGGUGAAGAAGGAUAGAGGCAGUAACUGGUCUUUAUUUGACGGUAAUCAACCAGAAAGUCACGGCUAACUACGUGCCAC
rnacentral:rRNA from 1 species